rnacentral:tRNA from 1 species
GGUGGCUCAGUAGUAGAGUGCUUGCCUUGCAUGCAUGAGGUCCUGGGUUCGAUUCCUCAGUACCA